rnacentral:rRNA from 1 species
AUUGAACGCUGGCGGCAUGCCUUACACAUGCAAGUCGAACGGCAGCACGGGUGCUUGCACCUGGUGGCGAGUGGCGAACGGGUGAGUAAUAUAUCGGAACGUACCUUAUUGUGGGGGAUGACGCAGCGAAAGCUGUGCUAAUACCGCAUAAUCCCUAAGGGGGAAAGCGGGGGACCGUAAGGCCUCGCGCAAUUAGAGCGGCCGAUACCUGAUUAGCUAGUUGGUGAGGUAAAGGCUCACUAAGGCAACGAUCAGUAGCUGGUCUGAGAGGACGAUCAGCCACACUGGGACUGAGACACGGCCCAGACUCCUACGGGAGGCAGCAGUGGGGAAUUUUGGACAAUGGGGGCAACCCUGAUCCAGCAAUGCCGCGUGAGUGAAGAAGGCCUUCGGGUUGUAAAGCUCUUUUGUCAGGGAAGAAACAGCAGCUCUAACACAGUUUGCGAAUGACGGUACCUGAAGAAUAAGCACCGGCUAACUACGUGCCAGCCGCCGCAGUAA